UCCGGCGUGCUCUAGUGGCUAGGAUAUUUGGCUUUCACCCAGAAGGCCCAGGUUCGAUUCCCGGCGUCGGAA
rnacentral:tRNA from 1 species